CGUACACUCCUACGGGAGGCAGCAGUGGGGAAUAUUGGACAAUGGGCGCAAGCCUGAUCCAGCCAUGCCGCGUGAGUGAUGAAGGCCCUAGGGUUGUAAAGCUCUUUCACCGGUGAAGAUAAUGACGGUAACCGGAGAAGAAGCCCCGGCUAACUUCGUGCCAGCAGCCGCGGUAAUACGAAGGGGGCUAGCGUUGUUCGGAUUUACUGGGCGUAAAGCGCACGUAGGCGGACUAUUAAGUCAGGGGUGAAAUCCCGGGGCUCAACCCCGGAACUGCCUUUGAUACUGGUAGUCUUGAGUUCGAGAGAGGUGAGUGGAAUUCCGAGUGUAGAGGUGAAAUUCGUAGAUAUUCGGAGGAACACCAGUGGCGAAGGCGGCUCACUGGCUCGAUACUGACGCUGAGGUGCGAAAGCGUGGGGAGCAAACAGGAUUAGAUACCCCUGGUAGUCC
rnacentral:rRNA from 1 species